UGGGGAAUUUUGGACAAUGGGCGAAAGCCUGAUCCAGCAAUGCCGCGUGUGUGAAGAAGGCCUUCGGGUUGUAAAGCACUUUUGUCCGGAAAGAAAUCCUCUGGGUUAAUACCUCGGGGGGAUGACGGUACCGGAAGAAUAAGCACCGGCUAACUACGUGCCAGCAGCCGCGGUAAUACGUAGGGUGCAAGCGUUAAUCGGAAUUACUGGGCGUAAAGCGUGCGCAGGCGGUUUUGUAAGACGGAUGUGAAAUCCCCGGGCUUAACCUGGGAACUGCAUUCGUGACUGCAAGGCUAGAGUAUGGCAGAGGGGGGUAGAAUUCCACGCGUAGCAGUGAAAUGCGUAGAGAUGUGGAGGAAUACCGAUGGCGAAGGCAGCCCCCUGGGCCAAUACUGACGCUCAUGCACGAAAGCGUGGGGAGCAAACAGGAUUAGAUACCCUGGUAGUCCACGCCCUAAACGAUGUCAACUAGUUGUUGGGGAUUCAUUUCCUUAGUAACGUAGCUAACGCGUGAAGUUGACCGCCUGGGGAGUACGGUCGCAAGAUUAAAACUUAAAUGAAUUGACGGGGUCAUAGCUGUUUCCU
rnacentral:rRNA from 1 species